UAGGAGUCAAUAACCGGAGCCAUCAAAGCAAGCAGACUUAAUUUUCUGCCACCGAAUACAUUAGCAUGGGAUAAUGGAAUAGGACCCUGUCCUCCUAUUUUCAGUUGGUUUUGGCAGCGCGAGGACUAGGGUAAUGAUUAAUAGGGAUAGUUGGGGGCAUUAAUAUUUAAUUGUCAGAGGUGAAAUUCUUGGAUUUAUGAAAGAUUAACUUCUGCGAAAGCAUCUGCCAAGGAUGUUUUCAUUAAUCAAGAACGAAAGUUAGGGGAUCGAAGACGAUCAGAUACCGUCGUAGUCUUAACCAUAAACGAUGCCGACCAGCGAUUAGGAGACGUUGAAUACAAAACACCACCAUCGGCGCGGUCGUCCUUGGCGUUCGUGUUCACGCACGAGCGCGAGGGCGGCUUAGCCCGAUGGCACCGGUGAAUGACUCCUAGCAGCUUGUGAGAA
rnacentral:rRNA from 1 species